AAAAGACAGUACAUCGAGAAAAAAAUACCACUAGUUUAUCGUCCCGCUAUUAAAAUACUAAAACACAAUACGACUAUUUUUGGUUUCGACAUGUAUCAGCAAAUUAGAGGCGAUCUAAAAAGGAAUGUCGGCAUGUUUGGACAGGCUGACCAACUGCCUAGCGUCACAGAAGGGAUCGGUGCUGCCUACCAGGCUGAGUGGGCAUGAGGGUUGCUUGUAGUGUCAACGAAGGACGGAACAGAUAUUCUUUUCUAUAUUUCAUAUUUAUAUAUUUGUUGUUUCGUUUUUUUGUUAUAAGUUAUUUUCUUAAUAAAGCAAGUUGGUUUGUGUUUGAUCAUUCA